GAAAUGCGAUAAGUAAUGUGAAUUGCAGAAUUCCGUGAAUCAUCGAAUCUUUGAACGCACAUUGCGCCCCCUGGCAUUCCGGGGGGCAUGCCUGUCCGAGCGUCAUUGCAACCCUCAAGCCCGGCUUGUGUUGUGGGGGUCGUCCCCGGGAGCACCGGUGGACGCCCCCGAAAAGCAGUGACCGCGGCCGCGAUACCGGCGCCCGAGCGAAUGGGAGACCGCGCUCGAGUGGCCCGGCCGGCCGUGUCGGUCCCUAGAGUCAAACCCCGGCGGGAGACCGCCACCCAAGGUUGACCUCGGAUCAGGUAGGGAUACCCGCUGAACUUAA
rnacentral:misc_RNA from 1 species